rnacentral:rRNA from 1 species
UACAGAGGUCCCGAGCGUUGUUCGGAUUUAUUGGGCGUAAAGGGUGCGUAGGCGGCGGAGUAAGUUGGGUGUGAAAUCCCGAGGCUCAACCUCGGAAUUGCAUUCAAUACUGCUUCGCUCGAGUACUGGAGAGGAGGCUGGAAUUUACGGUGUAGCAGUGAAAUGCGUAGAUAUCAGGAGGAACACCGGUGGCGAAGGCGGGUCUCUGGGCCGAUACUGACGCUGAGGAGCGAAAGCGUGGGGAGCGAACAGG